rnacentral:rRNA from 1 species
CAGUAGCCGCGGUAAUACGAAGGGGGCUAGCGUUGUUCGGAAUUACUGGGCGUAAAGCGUACGUAGGCGGUUUUGUAAGUUAGAGGUGAAAGCCCGUAGCUCAACUCCGGAAUUGCCUUUAAGACUGCAUCACUUGAACGUCGGAGAGGUGAGUGGAAUUCCGAGUGUAGAGGUGAAAUUCAUAGAUAUUCGCAAGAACACCAGUGGCGAAGGCGGCUCACUGGCCCAUAACUGACGCUGAGGCACGAAAGCGUGGGGAGCAAACAGGAUUAGAUACCCGUGUAGUCCCUGUCUCUUAUAC